rnacentral:lncRNA from 1 species
AAGCCUAUGCAUCAUUUUGAUUAUUGUAAACAUAAGUUUUAUUUUAAAUUUAUCAUGCUCUCAAACCCUUCAUAACAUGAUAUUACUUAUGAAACUUAAAUUAAAAUAAGCAUGAUGGCAUAUGAAAAUAUUUGGGUGCAAAACUAUCAAAUAAUUUUUGAUAUUCUUAUAAAACAUGUAACUAUUGAAAUAUUUUAAAAAUUACUUGAUUUGAAAAAUAACAAGAUAAGUCAUC